AUACGGAGGGAGCGAGCGUUAAUCGGAAUUACUGGGCGUAAAGCGCGCGUAGGCGGCUUUGUAAGUCGGAUGUGAAAGCCCUGGGCUCAACCUGGGAAUGGCAUUCGAAACUGCAGAGCUAGAGUAUGGUAGAGGGAAGUGGAAUUUCCGGUGUAGCGGUGAAAUGCGUAGAUAUCGGAAGGAACACCAGUGGCGAAGGCGACUUCCUGGCCCAAUACUGACGCUCAGGUGCGAAAGCGUGGGUAGCGAACAGGAUUAGAAACCCCAGUAGUCC
rnacentral:rRNA from 1 species